CCCUUAGAUGUUCUGGGCCGCACGCGUGCUACACUGAGUGGAUCAGCGGGUCAGGUUGCGCGAAAGCGUUUCCUAAUCUUUAAAUCCGCUCGUGAUGGGGAUUGACGGUUGCAAUUUUCUGUCAUGAACGAGGAAUACCUUGUAAGCGCGGGUCAUCAUCCCGCGCUGAAUACGUCCCUGCCCUUUGUACACACCGCCCGUCGCUACUACCGAUUGGAUGGCUUAGUGAGACCCUCGGACCGAUAGGCUGUCGCCGCGGCAACGUGGCGACCGGCCCGUCGGGAAGAAGGUCAAACUUGACUGUCUAGAGGAAGUAAAAGUCGUAACA
rnacentral:rRNA from 1 species